rnacentral:tRNA from 1 species
GCGGCCGUGGUCUAGAGCUUUUACACGGACAACCUGGUAAGAUCUCGCCCUGCCACGGCGAAGGCCCGGGUUCAAAUCCCGGCGGCCGCACCA